GGAGUGUACAGCUCAGUGGUAGAGAGCAUGCUUAGCAUGCACAAGGUCCUGGGUUCAAUCCCCAGUACCUCCA
rnacentral:tRNA from 1 species